CUCCUAUGUCCCCCUCAUGUUUGACUCCAAAGGUCCCUGCACACACACAGGGUUUAAAAGAAAGAGUCCUUCACUUAAAACACAACACAGUAUCAGCCUCUUACGUGAACACUUCAAAAUUAACAAGUAUGACUGCCACAAUGAAAUAUUUGACUCCAAUACUGCUGCUUUGUGCUCUGUUGUCACUGUCAGAUGCUUUCUGUACCUCUAAAGUCCUCACACUUGGCAUGACCCACUGUCAGGACGAUGUGGAUAAGACAUGGCAUGCAGUCGGCUCUUCAUGGAGAAACAGUGAAUGUAUGGACUGUUCUUGUUCCGGCUGUUGUUCUGCGUA